AUGACCUUACUUGAAUAGGAUAUGUUCUAUAGGCUCGUACAACUGUAUCCUCGAGUGUAAAGGAGACAUGCAACCACUCUGGUUGAUGACGUAAGAUCACGAGAUCAGAGCAUGAUUAACGGUUCUGGUCCCUUGGGAUUCCUAGCUGUAGAGGAUUGUUCCUGUUGGUGUAGUUAACACUAACGAUUUAACUCAGGUUUUGAUGAAUGAUA